GACGAACGCUGGCGGCGCGGAUUAGGCAUGCAAGUCGAACGGUAUCAUCCUUUCGGGGGUGAGAGAGUGGCGAACUGGUGAGUAACACGUAGGUUAUCUACCCUCAAGACGGGGACAACCCAGGGAAACUUGGGCUAAUACCGGAUGUGAGCAACUUUUAGUUGUUUGAAAGGUGGCGUAAGCUGUCGCUUGGGGAUGAGCCUGCGUCCUAUUAGUUAGUUGGUGAGGUAACGGCUCACCUAGGCAAUGAUAGGUAGGCGGCCUUAACGGGUGGUCGCCCACACUGGGAUUGAGAUACGGCCCAGACUCCUACGGGAGGCAGCAGUCGAGAAUAGUCUACAAUGGUCGGAAGACUGAUAGUGCGACGCCGCGUGAACGAUGAAUCCCUUCGGGGUGUAAAGUUCUUUUAUAUGUGAGCAGUGCUUCUUAUAUUAACAGUAUGGGGAGAGAGAUAUUAGCAUAUGAAUAAGCAACGGCUAACUCCGUGCCAGCAGCCGCGGUAAU
rnacentral:rRNA from 1 species